CUCAAAAUAGGCUGUAGAUAGCUGAUUUCAUCGAGGGCUACCACUAGAUUUGCAUCCUCUAAACUGUUUUAACGAAGCCCCAUCGCCCAAUUUGGACAAUUAGAGAAGUAGAGUCGACUAAAGGUCCAACAACAUACCGAUCAGGAGGCAGUCGGUACCUAGGUUGAGGUGACCUCGUAGAUUCGACUAUUGGUAGGUGUCUCGAUAUUCAGUAGCUAUACUUUCGUUCGAGUCUCUCCACUAGAUAUCGAGUCUUCUUUUUAAGAUGUAUAGACAAACCUGAUGUAAAUUAUU